GAUGAAGAACGUAGCGAAAUGCGAUAAGUAGUGUGAAUUGCAGAAUUCAGUGAAUCAUCGAAUCUUUGAACGCACAUUGCGCCCCUUGGUAUUCCAUGGGGCAUGCCUGUUCGAGCGUCAUUUGUACCCUCAAGCUUUGCUUGGUGUUGGGUGUUUGUCCCGCGUUGCGCGUGGACUCGCCUUAAAGCGAUUGGCAGCCGGCAUAUUGGCCUUGGAGCGCAGCACAUUUUGCGCUUCUAGUCAUGAAUGUUGGCGUCAAUUAAGCCUAUACAUUUGCUCUUGACCUCGGAUCAGGUAGGGAUACCCGCUGAACUUAAGCAUAUCAAUAAGCGGAGGA
rnacentral:misc_RNA from 1 species